UCCAGACUCCUACGGGAGGCAGCAGUGGGGGAUAUUGCACAAUGGGGGAAACCCUGAUGCAGCGACGCCGCGUGGGUGAAGAAGUAUUUCGGUAUGUAAAGCCCUCUCAGCAGGGAAGAAAGAAGACGGUACCUGACUAAGAAGCCCCGGCUAACUACGUGCCAGCAGCCGCGGUAAUACGUAGGGGGCGAGCGUUAUCCGGAUUCACUGGGUGUAAAGGGAGCGUAGACGGCCGUGCAAGCCAGGAGUGAAAGCCCGGGGCCCAACCCCGGGACUGCUCUUGGAACUGUGCGGCUGGAGUGCGGGAGGGGCAGGCGGAAUUCCUGGUGUAGCGGUGAAAUGCGUAGAUAUCAGGAGGAACACCGGCGGCGAAGGCGGCCUGCUGGACCGCGACUGACGUUGAGGCUCGAAAGCGUGGGGAGCGAACAGGAUUAGAUACCCUAGUA
rnacentral:rRNA from 1 species